CUGCGGCCUCAAGAUGGCGGUGGCGGCGGUGGCGGCGCUCGGGGGCCUUGCGGGGAGCGGUCGCCGCCUCCCGUCCCGGGUACCGCUGCGAGGCCCCGUCGUGGCCGCGGAGACUCCCCGCUCCCCGCCUGCCCCGCCGGCAGAGCCGUUCUCCCCGCACCGGCCCUUCCAGCCGCGGGCGAGGCGAGGCGAGGCAGGGAGCGGGCUAGGCCGCGGCCAGGCGCGUGUGGCGCAAGGCCGCUACGCCGCAUCCCGGCUCGCAGAGCUCUUCCCGUGCCCCCGGCAGGGUCCCCCGCCCCCGGGACAGCCCCGCCGCCUCUCUGCAGCGGCCCGUCUGGAAGCGUGGUCCAUCCUCUGCGCUGGGAGGAAUCAAAGCACCCAUCAGCAUAGGGGAUGGAUUUUUCCACAAAAUGGGUCUUUUGGUGAAUUUGUGUGCUGGCCAGGUGUAGGGCAGCUCCUCGCUUCCCCCCAUGAUGCGUGGAGAGAUGUCUGCCGUAUCACGCCUUCCUCCUCUCUGUCCUUGCUUGCUUUUUACAGCUUAGUGGGUUUUUUUUUUUUUUUAGCUGCUUUUCUCAUAAAGAUUUUGGCAUUUGUUUCUACUGGCUUCAGGACAAAACAUAAAACCAGGGCCUAGGUCACAUGAGGUCACUGAAGAUCCAUAGGAUGCUUUCUGUGAGCAACGAAUCGCUAGGCCAUUCCCACUGUGAGUUUGCUUACUGCUCCGCAUCCAUUUACCCGUGGUUUCACCAGGGUCCAGCCCCCAGACUCCCGCUAGGAGACCGCUCGGCAGCUUUGAGCAGCUGCCCUCUAAUCCAGAGUUGGCCACUGCUCGGGGUGGUUUGGGGGUAGCUGCGGAGAGAUGGCUCAGAUGAAAGCGCUAUACAAAGGUUUCCUUUUUAAAUGAGAAAUUGCAGGUGGCGGCAGCUUUCAUCACGAAAGCAUCAACUGCUUUGAUAUUUUCCGGCUCUGGUGGAUUAGUUUUGGAGGCAUCAUCGCUGUGGUUCAGCGAGACCUGCUGCCUUGUGCCUUGUUCAGCCCCGAGGCCAGGAAUAGGGGGAUGAAUGAAUUUUUUUUCUUCUUUCUCUUUCAAUAAAGAAAAAAUAACUAUUAGAGAUCAUUUUGAGAUGUCACUUCUCUUUUAUGAAUACUUGAGGUCAAGCCAUGCGUGUCGCAUGGAGCAAGAACAAGAUAAGUACACGUGUUCCUGAGACAUGAGUUUCAUUUUCCGUGUUUCUUCCCCAUUACUUUACCCUCAAGAUGAAUCAUGCUCUGUUACCAUGGAAACAAUCAACAUCAGUUAGUUUUUUUUUUUACUUUUCCAGGCCCAGAGUGACCAGAUGACACACGCCAACAGGCUACGCUCGCCCCUGGAGCACCGCUCCGUGACUCACUGCCACCGUUACCCAUCCAUCGCGAGGGAGAAACGCAGACUGGGUGUGAGCGUUCCCCCUUCCUUUGCUGUUUUCCUUGUUUUGAGGGACAGAGGAGACUGGGAUGGGAAAGGUCCCAUCCGUGCUGAAAAAAUGAACAACGCAUCCUGCUCGCGCACAUUAAAAGAAACUGGAAGGUGCAGCCCUGGCUGGGUGAAGGGCUAAUGGGGAGUGCAGAUGCGUUUCCACUGGGUGAAAAGCGGCAGCAGGUGGUUUGGCUUAACUCCCUCCCUGAUACCUUCUCUUCUACGGCAAGACUGGUUUGAUGCGAAGUAGGUUUUGCGUUUUGCCUAAGUAGCUGUGGGAAGCCAAGACUUCCUAAAAAUGAAACCAUACGAGGCCGUGCGAAUGACCACAGGGGGUCAGCCCAGCUCUCCUCAGCAGGGCUCGCAGCAGACGUCUGGGGCCUGCACGUUUUGGACCAGCCUCGUCCACACACAUCCUCCCGGUUUCCGGCAGUCAGCAGCGUGGGGACAGCCCGACCUGGGAGAUACAUCCGGCUGAACAGCCCCCGAAACCCUCUUCCAUGUCAGCAGCCCAGGAACAUGUGGCAGGAAGGCAGCAAAGGGACUGACCUCUCAUGGAGGUGGGACUGCCUGUGCUUUAUGCCCUCCCCGGGGCUGUCUAAGCCUGCCGCAAAGCCUGGGCCAGCCAUGCAGGGAGGGCAGGACAGUGCUGGCCAGCCGGCCGGUUUUCAGUCCCCCACUCCUGAAAACUUUUAAGUUCUUUUGCUAUUUUUAACCACGCUGGAAGGAGACAGCUGUGGUCUUGCAUGCUUCGAGAAGAGUAGGUGGCCAGCUAGCAGAGAAGCACUGGAUUUGGAUCAGGGGAGACCUGGGUGGUGGCUCAGCCGCUUUGCUCCCGAGAGUCCUCCCGAGAAACAGGCUUUGCUGCUUGGUGUCUGCUUGGCGUCGGGCACGUGGCUGCUGCUGAGCUCUCACCUCUCCCCGAGACAUCGUCAAGUCCCACUCGGUGGCUUCUAAAGGUCAAGCAAUCAGGGCCAGUGAGGAUUCACAGCAGCCAACAGAUGAAUCUCCCAGCUACCUCCGGAGCCAGGAUUUGGUUGCUAGAGAGCAAGGGGAAAGUUAAAAUAAUACAUUUCCACUUGGGUCACAAAUGCGCUCAUAUGCACCAGUUCAUAUUUUGUUGCGGGGUGGAAAAACAAACAAUAAAGCGCUGUUCUCUGGCUGCUCAGCGUUCGCCAGUGCUGGAACAAGGCGAUUACAAGGCACGGAAACUGCAAAUUCAUGACUGCGAGACAGUCAGAAAGAUGGGAAGCGGGCCAUGCACUUGCUCGAUGUAAAUGUCUUAGUCUGAAACACACCCUGCUUUAUGAGGAGAGAAAAAGCGCUCUGCUUUCACUUGGCCCUAUGACACAAUGCGCGAAGAACGGCAAAAUCCUCGCCACAAGCGAAUUGUUUACAUUCUGUUUUGGAAACAGAGGCGCAGGGCUCCGUAUACCCAGGGACUGGUCGCUCUGGCUCUUUUUAACCUCUAAUAGAUGAGGUUAUGGCCACUCACGGCUAAAUCUUGAGCGGGAAUGGAAAUGUCGAAGGUGUGCAGAAGAAAUGAGUGAAACAGCUCGGUGCGUCCCGAUAGCACGAAGGACCCGGUGCCCACCGAACCGUGGAGGGGAGAAAGCCACAGCCAUGCCUCCCCGCGUGCUGCCCGUGCCUUGGCUGGCUGGUGAUAAACUAAAUACCUGCAAGCGCUUAAUGAAGCCGUAGGGGAGAGCUGGCAGCAGAGCACUGCAGCGGGCCAGGUGGCCGGCUGGAGCGCGGGAAAUGGUGUUGCUUUGGGGCUCACGAUAACGUUAGUGCAGUUAUGGAAGAAGAAGUGCAUCUGGAGCGGGUCUGCCUCACUGGAAAUAAUUAUCCAAGCUGCAGCCGAGAAGCCAAAGAUAAUUUAACUGCAGGGGAAAGGGAAGUGUUAGAAAAUGCAGGUGUGUAGCAACCCCGGCCGUGGCUGGCGGGGAGCAGAGGACGCCUCUUGCAGCCCAUGGAGGCUGAAUGAAGCGUGUCCUGCAUCUUCAGGUCGUCUCCUCACUCUGGACCAUGGCCCGGGAACGAAUUUUGUGCAGAAAAUCCCACCAGCUAUCCCAAAUCGGACUCCAGAUUAGGUGCAGAGCUUAGAAAAUGGAGAAAUAGGGAGAAUCGGCCCAAACCGCUGCUCCCAAGCUGUCCUGAGACAUCACAGUUCCUGAGCGCACCUUAAUGCCAGAGAUUUAUAGUCCCGGCAGGUAAAAACACAUUUUCUCAUCAGCAGGAGGCAGAAAACUCUCCAUCCUGGAGCUCCCCAGGCUUCAGGGACCAAAUUAGUGCACUGUGGAUUUGAGAAGCCAAUUUAUCUGCAUAGAUCAGGGUUGCUGCGUCCUUUUCCCGAAUAUUUCCUUAUCUUUGCCAAGUACAUCCUGCCUGGAGGCAGGCAGAGGGUCCUUGGCACGCCGGAUCCAUCCUCAAGGCCAUGGAGGGUGGACAGUGGCUCCUCGUGACCUGCUGGAGUGAUGGGACGAAGCGGCGGCCCCGGUUUUCCAAAGCUUCCUGCGCAUGGGCCGAGCACCAUGUGAGCACGUGGAGGGCGGCGAUGUACAGCAGCUAAAUAGUACCGUAUCGCGCCGGCGGUGUAAAGUCAGCGACUGCACCCCACAGUGUUGCUCGGCACCAGGAUUAGGGAAUAACAGGAAUAGCGGAGCAGCUUUUGUCCCUUCCCGCGACCUCUGGCUGCUUCCCGAAGCGACAGCGGAAGAGUUUCAGGGCAGGCUGGGGCCGGGAUGCUUAAUUUGCUCUGCAGUUCCCCUGCUGUCGCCUCUCUCAGGUUCAUCCCCGAGCCAAACCGGAGCCUCCCCGCCUGGGACCCGUCGGAGGGCAAUUCCCAGCCGGAAGAGCCGCCAUCGGUCAAGUUUGCAGCCCGGAGAGUCGCCAGUUUGUUUCACACCCCGCUUUCCCAGGCGGGAAUCCAAGCGCAGCUUUUAGGGGCUGAGUGAAAGCCAAAAAAAAGGAGCAAAUCCUGUAUUUGCUCGCACUGCCGUUGUGCACCAGCGCCGGGCGGCUGCUGCCACUGCGCAUUGGCCACCAGCUGGGCCCUGAUCCGAAAGGCGUUUGCAGCGUUUUUCGGAGAAGGGGGUUUUCAGGUUGUUCGCUUUGCAGGAGGCAGGAUUUUUCGUGCGUUAAGCUUUGGCCCGCGGCGCGUUGAACCUCAGCGCCCUGGGGGACGGUUGGAAAAAUGCUGCCGAGCCCAUUUCCAGGUCUUUUUUUUUUGAGCUACGGGUCAAAGGCAAAGCUCUCAAAAUGACUUCGCUGUCUGAUAGGUUCUGGCAUAUCUGGGCUGCUUUGAAAUACGGCAUUGGCCUUCCUAAGUUGCUCGGGAUCAGAAAAUAUUUUGAUGCUCCAAUGUCAAGCUAAAAAACCCUGAAAUGCAAACCCUGUGACCUCUUACCUAGCUUGGACCAACGUGCCGUCGACACGAUGAGCAGAUGCAAUCCCCUCGCCAUUUUUUUGGGGGGGUGAACGCGGCGUUUUGUCGUCGUUUUCUGCCCGUCCCGCUUGCCGACCACUGUGGGAAUCACCCAUCCGCGCAGCAUUGAAUUACCGGGGCUUAAAAAGCCGAAGGAGGCUCAGACGACAGCCCAGCUGGUACCUUAAACAGGCAGGCAAAUCCCCAGAGCUGCCGGGGCUGCUCUGCCCUGCCUCGCGGCUGGCUCGUGCCGCAGGGCUGCCUGCAAAGAUGUGCUGGGGAUUUGGGGGGGUCGUGGCGCCUUUUUUUUCCUCCCAGGCCAAAAAGGGUCAGCCGCGGUCGGGUUUCACUGCAUCAGCACAAAAGCUUCCUCCCAUCUGACAGCUCGUCUUCAGCUGAGAUUUUUUUUUUUCCUUUCCAAGCAGGGACGGGAAAUAAAUCCUGCAAAAGCUGGUGGCCUCCUGUGGACCCUCCCAGAGCCCCGGCGCCUCUCCCGCGGCUCCCAUCGCUGCGCCGCCGGCGACUUCUGCCUUCCCACGGCCCCGCCGCCGACCUCCUGGGCUGCCCUCCGCCGCGGCUCCCGGCACCGCAGCACGGCUCCGGCCCCACACCGCUGCGCCGGGCUGCUCGCCACGAGCCGCAUUUUGUUUCGCUGCCGAUUGAAAGGCUGAAACGCAAUGUUUACCGCCUAAAUAUUUUAAGCUUGACUUGCAAACAGAUCAAUUCUACUUCUCGCCAAUGCGUUUAGCAUCGAGCUGGCUGCACUCGGGCUAGGCGGCGAGCUGGCCUGGCAGCAACAGAGAGCUUGUGGAUUCUCUGAUGGCUAAUAGGGUUGUGCUUGCACUGCCGUUUCUUCUCAGGGGUUGCAUUAAUGGAGAAGGGUUUCUCUUUUCUCAAGCUUUGCAAAAUUUCCUAUCCUUGAGGCCUCAAAAAUCAGCCAACAGCCUCAGGAGGCAUUGGGGAAGGGCAGCCACACAACCAGGCCCCACGCAAUGCCAGAAGCAGGGCCCAGUGGUGGCAGCUGCCUCCUGGGGGGUGAGUCCAGUUGCCCCGGGCAGCCCAGGGGAUGGGUCGAACAGGCUGAUUUUAGCGUGCAAAAAGCCUUGGGAGAGGGCAGACACUGUUGAUGCGGCCAGGUGUGAGGUUUUGCAGCGGUUUCUUCUGCUCCAGCAUCGCCAAUAGGAGCUGGGUAACAGUGCUUGGUGCCAACAGGUUUAUGCUCAAAUAUCAGGACUUUGCAAAAACAGCUGCUUUCGAAAGAAAGGCUCUGCCUGCAGCGAGCUGCAGCUCGGUCGCGCGGGGCUGAGCAGUGACCAGCUGUGCUUGGCUGGUGCGUGUGAGCCAGCGCUGGUGGGACGAAGCCAUCGUGGGUGCCCCGAUGCUGCCGCCCUGCGAAGAGCAAGGGUGCUGCGCUGCCAAGACUCGUUCAGACUGAUGCAAAAGGUGACUUUUUUUUUUUUUUUUUUUUUUUUUUUUGGUGGUCUGGUUGCCUCUACGUCAGAGUGAGGUGCUCAGACUGCAGCAGGAGCACAGUGAGAGACAUGUUGCAAGCUUGGCCCGGGGCAGCAGCGGCAGGUGGAGGGACGGAGCUGGGGCCGGGGCACAGAGGUGGCUGCACUGAGCUGCCCAGGGCUCUGCUGCAGCAGGGUUUAAACACAAGAACCAGAAAUGGAAACUGCGUGUUAAAUAAAAGAUUUUACUUUUAUUUAAAAUAAAAUGCAUUUAUACAUAGUCUUGAAACCACAGACUACUGGAACACAACACUGGUUAUUCCUUGGCAUUAGGUGGGGCAGAAGAUCCCUCACCGUUAGCGUUAACUCCGCACUGGUGUAAUAUAUGGGGAGGUCCUGACCCCACGGAUCAGUUAUUGAGGAUGCCGUGGCACAGCUCUGAAAUCAUACUUAACUUAGAUAAAAACGUACUGGGCUGAAAUUGGGGUAUUUUUGUUUUUAGGUUGCUCCCCUUAUCCCUUACAGGCAUACUAUAGUUAAUGCUGAUACACCAGAUCUAUGCAAUAUUCUAGCUGGCUUGUGAGACUAGUUAAAAAAACUGUACAAUUUUAUAAAAUUUGUGUUUUUUACAUUAGUUACACAAAACCUAUACUUCAUAGACCUUUACUUCAUAUUGAAAUGAAAAAGUUUGCAUAUCAUAGGCAGAACAGUGACUAUGCUGGUGAAUACUAAAAGUGUCAUAAUACAAUAUGGUGUAAAAAUAAAAAAAAAGACAAUAUAAAUGAUUAUCAAAAGGAAAGUUAACAAACAAACCAAGCUAUAACAGACUAUCCGAAGGUCAUCUUCAAGGCCACACGCAACUAUCUUCAAAAUAAUGUCAGGCACCUGUAGCAGUCCUGGUGCUUGUAGUGUGAAAGUAAAGAUCAAAAUUCUACUUAUGGGUAGGACAACUUCAAAACAGGAGGUCAAAUUUACAGAAUAAAAAACACAAAAGGAAAUAAAACACUCAUGCAUUAAACAUGAUAAAUAGACUUCAUAUAGCUUAAGCCCUGAUGGCUUUUAAAAGAAGAUGGCUUAGAGUUCUCUUGGAAAUUUGGCUAUUUUAAGUCAGUCAAAUCUUAUCCUGAUCUGCCCAUCGUAUUUUGUAUCUAAAGGCUACAGGCAGAAUUACCUGGCCCAGAUACUGUCUUGUUAUAGCAAAUUAACAGAAGUGCUCAUUAGUGCACACAGAUUAACUGGUCUGGUAAUGCAAAAAUUUUCAUGAUAAAAAAGAUACAUUUCAAGCUUACUUUAUUAAGCAGCAUAUUUCAAAUAACAGCUUUUUAAAGUUAAAUAUUAAUAUGGCCAUGGGGUUUCCUCUCGGCAUACAGUACAUCGAACUCACACCCAACCGCUGGUCAGUUUGUAGAACAUCUCUUCAUCUAAACUUUCGUUCUGAUCUUUUGCUCGUGUCGACAAGAAGAUGUAGCCACCAAUGAAUUCAUGAACCACCUUGCAAUCCACCUCCGUGCAAAUGAAGGACACCCUGACAUCAUCUGCAAACUCCACAGUUACCUAGAGUGCAAAACACCAUGGUUAGGUCCACCAGCGCCUUCCAAAACAAGUUACAGUGACUCACGCUCUUCCUCUCUGUGUUAUUCUUCGUCUCUAUUAAAGCAGACGCCUUUUGCGUUGUCUAAACAAAACGCAGCCAUGUACAUCCUGAUGCAAUAAUUAUUGUUAAAAUGUUUAGAUACAGAAAUACCUUUUAUUGCUGGGAAGGAAUAAUUCUCCUGUGCCUCAAAGAUAAUUACACAAUUGUGUUUGUACCUCUCGGCUGCGUGCAUGGGUAUGUAUUUUCUUUGUUUAAAGAGGAACAGAGACCGGAUAGAGGAUUGUUGAGGGGUGGGAUUGCCUUCCAGGUGACUAGUUUUCCCAGCAAGUGUAUUCUGGUUUUGUAAGCUGAAGUUUUGCAGUAGAAAUGUUGCUUUUUUAUGGGGACUGGGAGAGCUCUUUUUACAACGACUAAACAGACUGUCCAUUUCUUGAUGCCCAUUACUUUUUCCUUACCCCAACACUGACAGCUCUGCAGGAUGGAAGCUGGGGAAUUCCCAGCAGAGGAUCUGACCUGAGCAAUUGGGAUAUCGGGGCUUGCAGAAUGGGUCAAAACAAACACUCUGAGGCAAGGAGGGACUGAAUAGUUUUGCUAGCAACUCUUAUCAAGCCUCACACACACGACAACAGCCCUCAAGUAUCCCUACAGUGGCUGGAAAUUUUCAUCAGGUUUCGCACAGGACCACAAAAGGUUUCUGCAUCCAAUCUUAACAGUUGGGUAAAAGCCCAUCUCAGAGCCUAGUCAAGUGUCUAGUGCUGUUUCUCCUUGGUUAUACAAAGGUCUGAGCUGUACUGCAAAUCGAAUGACUUUUCACGUGGUAAGGCAAAGUACAUUUAUGCCAUUGGUAAGGCUCAAGUCUGAUCUGACUUUUAAUUCUGAAGUUUGAUUUUGUUCAGCUGCCUUUGAGUGGGUGUUCAUAUGGACUGGAAAAACCUGUGAUGCAUUAAGCGUCUAAGUGGCUUAGGUAAAGAAAGAUUCUGUUUUUUUCUUUUUUAAGGUUCAUACUGAACUCCAACAGAAGUUAAGAUAAGCUCUGCUGGAUCUCUGAGGAGGACAGAAGGUGGGGGAGCAGAAAUUAUUUUACCUUGAUGCAGAAGAAUGUCAUCCCAGAACUACCUCCAGAAGAGGCAAAAAACUUUAGAAAAAUGUAGUCAUUUGGCCUAUGCCAUCAGCCUGCCCACCCGGACCAGGCAUGUGCAACGCAGAGAGCUUUCAAAACCCCCUGGGACCUCGCAGUGAUGAAACCAACCACCCAGCCUCCUGAAGGCUCCUGAGUCACAUAGCCUGCGCAAGAUAAAACUGCCUAUGAAAAACAAAAUUGGAUCUGCUCUAGAAAACAGCAACAAAAAUUUUGAUUUUUUAAAAGCUGACUUACCAAAGUCAGCUCAAAAAAACAAAACAGGUUGUGAAACCCAGAGCAAUUUCUUUCUUAUGCCACAAAAACGGGGAAGUGGCCUAGGUGCAGAACGCAAAGCUGAUCUUGGUGAAAACUAGCUUUGUGGUGGGUAUCUCUGGGCACGGUGUGAAGAGAGCCUCGCUCACCAUUUUAAUCUCCCAGUUGACAUUCCACUGCUUCAUGUUGCUGAAUCGCCACGUUUUGACGGCAUCA